UUUGUUUACUCUUCUCUUGUGGGCUGUCCCACUCUUCUCAGCUUCUGAAAAAUCUAGAAAACAACAACAGAAAGCCUUUCUUGUAAUCAGGACUUCCUCAUUCAUCCCUCCUGUUUUGUUUGUUUGUAUUCUAUUUCCAUGCCCAUCUGUGUUCUAUCCAGCCUUGAGUCUAGCUGCAACGGGGAAAUUUUUCUUGAUUAAUCCACUUGGAAGGAUAAAAGGAGAAAUAAGCAAGUGGAAGCAGUAGAGCAGCAGACGCAAUUGACAGGUGGAAGCGGAAUUUCUCUACGGGCAGGAACAGAAGAAAACGGCGACGCCAGGACACAGAGUUCCUAUAGAGAGGCCUUCUGAUAUCAUAAACCAGGACAGAGGCGGGGGAUUCCGGGUUCCUGGAACGGGCUCUAAGACAGCCACAGAGAAUGGGAGCGCGUGUCCGGUGGCCCGACCGGGGGACAGGCCGUUCGGAGAAGCCCGCCCACCGGGCACACACUGCCAUGCCCGUGGUGCCCGUGCCAGCCCGCCGGUAUGUCACUUGCGCUGCCUGGUGGGAAGAGCUGUCCCUUGCGGAUGCACAAAAUUCUGGACGGCAACUUCCACCGCAUGUGAUUCAAGGCAAGCGGCCUCUGCAGGAUGGGUGCGCAAGGCCUGCGAGAGAAGGGUCUCCAGAGACCCCAGUUUGAGAGGAGGGGCAGGUGAUACACUUGCUCUCGGUGCAACCAUCCCAUUGCAACUGAGAUUCCCUGCAGGACCCCCCGACGCCCCCCCAUCUCGGCUAAAGUCUUCAUUCCUCCAGGAAGACCAAUCCCCAGCUCCUUGUCCACUAGGCCCUACCAUUGCACCCCUGAUACCCGUCUGCCCUUGCUUUUGUUAAGGGCUGCUGCUGGGUGUCUGUCCUCCCCGGGGAAAUGCGAACACCCGGAAGACACGGACUCGGGGGUGCUCACACUCAGCUCCCCCCCCCCCCAUUUCCGUUUGUUGGCAUCAGCCUUACUCUAGGGCAGGAGGGAGACUGGGCAACAAGGCAAGGAGAGAGCAGAAAACCCGAGUGGCCCCAGGGCGUACACUGGGCCGUGUGGGAUCAGUUCCUGCCCGGGAGAAGGGGCCCUGGGGGCCAAGCCAGGGGAGCCACAGAUGCCAUGUGCCGCAGGGGGAGACGCCAAGCCUAAUGAGGACACACUGGUCCCACAGCCCCCGUCCUCCUGCCGGCCCCUCAUCCCACUCUCAAGUGACUCUAAGACCUUCCUCUCUGGAGUGGGGGGUCCCCUGCCUCCCUUCCUGACGCUGACCCUCCCCCAAAGCCAUCAUCCCUUCUAAGACAAGGUCAUUCUCCAGCUUAAACACCGAGGACUCCUCGUUCUUUUGUCCCAAAUAAAUACUCUUAGCCUGGCACGAAUUUCAAUUCAACAUAGUUUUAGUGUCAUUUCCUACAAGAGGCGUAAGCUUCAGGCACAUCAAACCUCUGAAUUUUUCACAGCCACACCUACGUCCCCAGGACUCUGCUUAUGCCAUUCCCUCGGAGAUGACACCCUGGGGCGCGUUGCUCCCACACAAAGAAAACCCUGCAGCUACUGCCUAUGGAGCUCGUACUCUGCUAAGUUCCCUGUGGCGCCUGAAUGAUCUCACUUAUCCCCCUUCUCUGAUCCCUGGACCAGCACGUGAGGGAGUCGGUCCUCUUCAUCUUUGGGAAAGGAAACUGAAGAUCAGAGAGGGUAAGCAUCUUGCCCAAGGUCACAGAGCUGGGAAGCGUCAGAGCUAGGAUCUGAAUUCCUCAAGUCCGAGCUCUUUCAUGUUUGCUGGGGGUGUGCUCUGGGCCACACGGCUGUGACUGGUGCUGCAAGCGGCCUCUGACCUACGUGGGUUGUUGGCCUUCUC